GAGAGAGAGAGAGAGAGAGAGAGAGAGAGGUAGGUCAUGAUCUCAGUCUGAUACAUCUGAGAUUCUAGAAUAAGGUUAAGAAAUAUGCAGGUCUUUGGGGAUCACAAAUAAUGUGUCAUUUUUAGGAGAACUUGCCCUUUUCAUUUUCUUUCAAGGGACUUUCAUUGGCGACUUUUCACUUCUCAGCACUUUUCUGUAGAAAGUUUGGGAAAACUUGGGGAGGUAAUAAAGAUCUACAGACUCAGCACCAUAUGACACCCAACAAAAGUGGGGUCAACUCCAUCCCAUCCUGUGUGUUAACUUGUUCCCUUGAGAUUAAGAACAUAGACUGAAAACUGUGAAUGGUUGCUAGGAAGCACAUCAACUGUUUUGCUUUUAGACCAUCCCCAUACCUUUAACAUAGCAAAUGACCGGAGUAUUACAUUUAUUUUAAUUAAAAAUUUGUGCGCCCUACCCCCACUGUGUGGGGAGGUCAGAGGAUAACUUUGUAGAGUGGUUUCUGGGCAUUAAACUCUGGUCCUCAGGCUUACAACAUUGAAGGGCAAGUACUUUUACCUGAUGAGUUUUCUUUAGGGGAGACUGACCUUGAACUCUUGAUCUUCCUUCCUCUUUCUGCCUCCACGUACUGGAUUAUAUUCAUGUCCAACUCCAGCAGAGUCACUUGGCAGUUUCCGAACUCUGGUGCAAGAGCCCAGGUGCAGGCCUGUCUGAUCUGAGCUGUGACUCUCCGUUGCUUGGGUCGGGGAGUGCCCCCUGGUGGCAGGCAGCGGUGGUGGGCGGGAGACCGAGUUUGUGGGGAAGGUUGCGCCGGCCUGGCCUCUAAAUCCUUUAUCACGCGUGCCUGGGUCGUACCGGCCAGCCGGUUUUGAGCUGGCCCAGUGUACCCAAAGCUAGCUUAGUCGCUCCCUUUUCAAGACAUCUGGUCUCUGGCCGCGCGUGCCUGUGUGUCUGCUUUCUUCCUUUGCAGGACACUUGGACCUAGUUGCGUGUGCUCGUGGGCCAGGUCUCUUUCCUUCUCUCUUUCUCCCUCUGCAGGGCGGCUGACCUCUGGUCGCGCCUGCCCGUGGGCCUGGCCCCUUUUGCAGGAGACUGGCCCCUGGCUGCCCCAGGGACGUCCUAGAGUUUGGACUUCCGGGGUUGGCUCCCAGUCUGCUGCUUGUCACCCGCCAGGGCGUUUCCGUGCCCAUGCAUGGGCGCGGCCCUUUAAACUUCACUGUUUUUUAGACUUUGGGGGUGUGGUCACACUUUCUUUUUUUUUCUUCCCGUCCGUCCGUCGCGGUCAUCCCAGACUCGCGGGUCCUUCUCUUGCCCUGCUUUCCAGAUGCUUUGGAGUCAUGAGACGGGAGGGCGCAGGGACCCCUCUGAUGGCCGAGGUGAUCCGAGAUCGCCUUUGUUUUGCCAUUCUCUACAGCAGACCAAAGAGUGCAACAAACGAACAUUAUUUCAGCAUAGAUAACGAGCUAGAGUAUGAGAACUUCUAUGCGGAUUUUGGACCACUCAAUCUGGCCAUGGUUUACAGAUAUUGUUGCAAGAUAAAUAAGAAGCUCAAGUCCAUUACAAUGCUGAGGAAGAAAAUUAUCCAUUUUACUGGCACUGAUCAGAGAAAGCAAGCGAAUGCCGCCUUCCUUGUCGGGUGUUAUAUGGUUAUAUAUUUGGGGAGGACACCAGAAGACGCGUAUAGAACAUUAAUCUUCGGAGAUACAGCCUAUAUUCCUUUCAGAGAUGCUGCCUAUGGAAGCUGCAGUUUCUAUAUUACACUUCUCGACUGUUUUCACGCAGUAAAGAAGGCAAUGCAGUAUGGCUUCUUUAAUUUCAACUCAUUUAACCUUGACGAAUAUGAACACUAUGAAAAAGCAGAAAAUGGAGAUUUCAACUGGAUAAUACCAGAGCGAUUUCUUGCCUUCUGUGGGCCCCAUUCAAGAUCCAGGCUGGAAAGUGGUUACCACCAACAUUCUCCGGAGACUUAUAUUCCAUAUUUUAAGAAUCACAAUGUAACUACCAUUAUUCGUCUGAAUAAAAGGAUGUAUGAUGCUAAGCGCUUUACGGAUGCUGGAUUCGAUCACCAUGAUCUUUUCUUUCCGGAUGGCAGCACCCCUGCUGAGUCAAUUGUCCAAGAAUUUCUGGAUAUUUGUGAAAAUGUCAAGGGUGCCAUUGCUGUGCAUUGCAAAGCUGGCCUUGGUCGAACAGGCACUCUGAUAGGCUGCUACCUCAUGAAGCAUUACAGGAUGACAGCAGCUGAGAGCAUUGCCUGGCUCAGAAUCUGUAGACCCGGCUCAGUAAUUGGGCCCCAGCAACAGUUUCUGGUCAUGAAACAAUCAAGCCUCUGGCUAGAAGGCGACUAUUUCCGUCAAAAGUUAAGAGGGCAGGAGAAUGGCCCCCUCAGAGAAGCCUUCUCCAAACACCUUUCGGAUGCUGAUGACCUGUCCUUAAAUGGGCUUGAGAAUCAAGACAAUCAAGAGCCUGAGCCGUAUAGUGAUGAUGAUGAAGUCAGUGGAAUGACACAAGGAGACAGACUUCGGGCCCUGAAAAGCCGGAGACAGCCGAAAGCCAGCGCUAUCCCCCUCACAUGUCCCCUAGCUGUGCUGACCUCUGCACUGUGUAGUGUUGCCAUCUGGUGGAUUGUGUGUGACUACAUUCUUCCCACCCUGCUGUUCUGUCUUGAUGGCUUCAGAACACAGUAGCCAUCUGGACCCUUUGACAGAUAGUUUGCUGUAGUAAUUCUUCAGUCCAGUGUUCAGAGCUGUAAAACCCCUGAACCUAACCUUUCUGGCAGUGCAGGCAUUACUAAACGAACCACCAGAUCUGCUUCGGGGAAAAGCAGUUUUAAAAGCCUGGCUCCGUGGAGGGAGCGGAGGAGAAGGAGCGCUUUGCAGCAAAUGCCCAUGCUGGCCUUAUGUCCAGCCAUUUCAAGGACUAAGACAGUCUUACGUUAAAGUAAAAAAACGGUGACCAGCACUCCAGGGAAGACUAGGAACAGAAAACCCAAAAAGGAUUUAGCCAAUCAAUCUGAGAACAAAGCAGACUCUGCAAUGGCCUUAGCUUCUUACCACAUAAGAAGUUCAUUCAAUGAAGAAAAUGUCACUGGCCUCUCAUCCACUCACUGACUCUGGGGUGUGGUUGAACCAUUUGAGGGCCUGACUCUCCCUUUUGUUAUCUCAAGUUGGACAAAAGCUGCUGUUGUGAACUUAGUCUCAGGUGUCAAUAUCCUGUCCUCUGCCACCAGAGAGUUGUCUGGUGAGUGUGGUACAUGUGUGUGUGUCCCUGUGAUGGCAAUCAUGUUUGCUGCUGGCCUCCAGAAGAGUUGAGGAUCUGAUGGAGAUAUCUUAGGUAUUUAUUUUUUGUUCAACCUUGUGACCCUGACUCGCAGUUUAUAAAGAUGAAAGAGAUGAACAUCCCACCAGUGGUACCCUCCAUCUUCAGGUAUGAUUUGGUACAAUCAGCUUCACUUUCCUCUUGUUAAUCCUGUUGUGAUGUUCACUGUGUGAAGUACCCAAGCUGCUUGUUUUUCACCAAAGAGUGCUUUAUUAACAACCUGUGAACACUGCAUUUAAACACUGUUGUAUGUUGUUGUGGUUACUGAAAACCUGCUAGGAAAUGUUGAGAAUGUUGGAACCCUUUCUCAGUUACCUGGUUCCUACAAAUCCUUCCUUGUGUCAUUUUAGGAUGAAGAUUUCAGAGCUGGGAUGUUGUUGGGUUGCUCAGCCACGUUAUAAUUGUGUUUACUUCAUUACAUCAAAACCAAACAUCAACCCUAGCAUUUUCCUUUGGGAAAGCAUCCUAAAUAAUGGUGGCUUUAACAACAAAAUUGUGAGCCUUGCUGUAUUGGCGCACGCCUUGAAUCCCAGCAUUGGGAGGCAGAGGCAGGUGGAUCUCCAGGUGGAGUUCCAGGCCAGCCAAUGAUACACAAGGAAAUCCUGUCUCAAAAAUAAAACAAAGCAAAACAAAAAAACCAAACCCAAAAUCCCAAAAUUGUUAACCCUUUGUAGAGUCUUUCUCUGUAACGCUGUGGAGUUUUUUCCUUGUGAUCCACAGUUUGAUUUUAGUGACAAUCACUUGCUUCUGGAGUUAGGCUGUUUGUGUAAGAGAUCUCACUGUUGCCUUUGGUUAGGGAAUAUGACUAGAAACUGUAGUGUGCCUUUUCUCUUCACCCUGCUGGAAGCCAGCAGCACCCGUGCCAUGAAGCAAUUGCAAAACCAGAAUUUAUCUGCUGCCACAAAAAAAAAAAAAAAAAAAAAGACAGAGCCCAUAAUUAGAAAAUACUCUAUAGUUGUCUUGGUUACUUCCACAAUUGAGGCUAAUGGUUUUUUGACUCUCCCAGUUUAGAAACUGGAGAAAUGCAAUAUUGAAAGCCAUUGACAGCCAAUGCCUUCCCAAGACAGGUGAAUGUGUCAGGUGAGCAGGCAAUCCCACUUGAAAAGCUGCCUUCCUUGUAGUUGAUAUUGACAGGUUAAAGUCUAGUUAAUGUAAAAAUAUUGAAAGACAAUAGGUCCCCCCUUUCAGUGUUUCUAUCCUCAAACUGCAUUGGUUGGCCUUGGAUUGGAGGCAUGAGGAUUCAAUGUAAAUCCACACAAAGAGCCCCCCUUCCUAGGCAGCACGUAGCUUUCAAACAACGGGAAAAAACAGUUAAGGUAAAGUUUGUUAUCUCUGGAUAUGAAUUGGAUUGGAUCUAGGUAGGAGGGCAAACGUUUCAUUUACCAAUCAUGCUCAAUCAAACUGCCUAAGUCUAAAAUAGAACCUUCCUGGGUGGUUCUUCCUUCCCUGAACAAGCUAGGCCAGGCACCAGGAGACAGAAGGAGACUCCAUUCCAUCUGAACUAAGCUAGAUUUGUUCGCAUGGAUCAGAAUGAGUUGGUCAGGGCCUGCCCACACUGGCUCGUGGUCUGCAAGUUUGGGAGGAAACCACCUGGGCUUCAGAGAUGACCACAGUGCUUUUUAAAAGGCACUUUUUUGUGUUUGCAGCUCCAUUCAUCUAGAAGUGCUGCCACUGUGGCUCUUCCCUGCAUUUAACUCCCUUGCUAAAGUUACUUAGGAAACGUGAGUUGGUGAGGACACAUUCAUUUCUAGGAAAAGCUACUUGAUGUUGUCUGGGCAGGACUGCUUAGCAACUGACCACCAGUGACAUCAGGACCCAGGAAGUCUUUGAUCAGACUAAUGGAAAGUCCUUCCUGUUGGGAAUUAGUGGACAACCUCUCCCCAAACUACAACUACCCAGAAACUUCUGGGAUAGAAGACCCUGUAGCUAUAAAGCAUGACUCAGUAGAUAUGGGAUGGAGGGGCCCCUUUAACUUAAGAACUUUAAAUGCCUUUGUAAGUGCAUCAAAGCUUCUUCCAGCAGAAUGAAAAUUAGAAAAGUAUAUUUAUAGGUGCCCUUGACGCUUUUGGGGAACGCAUACUAUCCAGAGUCUAAGAGAAGAAUGUCUGCAUUAGCUGAGCUGAGGGCUUAUAGACAGAUUGUCUUAGGGUUUCUAUUCCUGCACAAACAUCAUGACCAAGAAGCAAAUUGGGGAGGAAAGGGUUUAUUCGGCUUGCGCUUCCAUGCUGCUGUUCAUCACCAAAGGAAGUCAGGACUGGAACUCAAACAGGUCAGGGAGCAGGAGCUGAUGCAGAGGCCAUGGUGGGAUGUUCCUUACUGGCUUGCUCAGCUUGCUCUUUUAUAGAACCCAAGACUACCAGCCCAGGGAUGGUUCCACCUACAAGGAGCCUUUCAUCCUUGAUCACUAAUUGAGAAAAUGCCUUACAGUUGGAUCUCAUGGAGGCAUUUCCUUAACUGAAGCUCCUUUCUCUGUGAUAACUCCAGGUGAGUCAAGUUGAAACAAAACUAGGCAGUACACAGAUUAAUACAAUUCUGAGGCCCAGCUAUAACUCUUGAUUUGAGGCAAGAAGGACGGACCCUGAGUAGUGCCACAAUCAAGGGUAGCAGUAUUUGUCGAAACUAACAUGGCCACAUGCUGCUCUUCCUCAUUAACUCCCCAGCUUUAAUUGGUCCCCAAAACCUAGUUCUAUCCAUUGCCCUGCCCUGCCCUACUGCCCCCCUGUCGGGUGGCUUCUACCUCUUGGCUUGGGCCCUGACAGGUCACAGGGGCUUCCAAGCGUUCUCCUGAGGCUCUUUGAGCACAAUCAGGUCUGUCGACCUUUCCAGCUUUCUGGGUCUGGAAUUCCUCAGGCCUUUGUUAGCUUGAAUAGCUGUCUGUGACAAGUGAGUAUGUGUUCUAGAAACAUCAGCUGUUUUUCCUCACAUAUUUUUUUUAAAAGUUCUUACUUGCAUUUUGGAAAGCAGUUGGUCAGAAACCUUAAAACCUAUUUUUUUUUUUUAAGCUGGGCAAUUGUAGCAGGCAGAUCUCUUGUGAGUUCAAGACCUACCUGGUCUUCAAAGUGAGUUCCAGUAUAGUUAGAGCUACACAGAGAAUCCCUGUCUCAAACAAAACAAAGCAAAACAAACAAACAAACAAACAAAACAGAUAAUACAAACUAUAUUUUAAGAUUUCUCUCCCACUGAAGUGACCUCUUGAGAAUAGCCACUGUUCUUGCAUUUCUUCAUAAAUCUGAGUGUUCCCCAUCUCACUGAGUGGAAAUACUACAGAUACAUUUAAAAGAUCGCCUAUACUGUGUAAGAAAUUACCUCCUGAUGAUCCAGUAGAACUCACUGUGGAUAGACACGUCUGUCAGAUUACGGUACUGCAGUUUUACAUCCAUUGUUUGAAGACUUUAUUGUACACUCAUGUGCAGAUGAAGUUUUAAAAUGUUACUGACGAGUCACCAUUUGAUCAGUCAUUGUCUUGAUAUUUUAUUAAAUUGUAUAUUUCUAAUAAUAUUUUUUAAAGUUGAGAGAACUGGUUGGAUGUUUAUUCUCCUGAAGGUAUUUUUAAGAUAAAGCUUCACCAUAGCCUGUAAACUUGGCACAUAAGUAGUUUUUGAUACUUUUUGUUGCAUUUGAAAAAUCUUGUGUAUUGUAAAAUGGUUUUAUACAAAAUACUAAAUAGUAGAAAUUGUAUAAUUUACAAUCGUAUAAUUAAAAAUAUUAAACAGUC